GUCUACGAAUAGAAAAUAAGCAAAAUAUUAAGAAAAUUCAGAGAAAAAAAUAUAGUAGCAAAUUUUUGUAUUAUUAUUAAGUGUUGCAAAGUGGCCAAGUAGUGCUUUGAGCUGUUGUGUGCAAGUGUAGUUGUGUCUCUGAUAAAAAAAUUAAUAUAAUAUGGGCAAAUGUAAAGAAGAAAAAGAAGAAGCAUAAGCAGCACUGCUGUUUGUGGUGUAUGUGUAACAAACGGCACACAGUAAAUUGUAAAAAAAGCGUAUGCCUCCACAAGAGUACGUGUGAGAGUGUGUGUGUGUGUCUGUGUAUUUGUACGUGCGGUGUUAGUCGCCCAUGAAUGGAUGUUGUGUGAGCGACCAGUGCUUGUGUAUGAUUUGAGCAGUUGGUUAAAACAGGUUUACAGCCGCUGCUAUACGAGAAGAAGAAGAAGAAUCAGCAGCCCCACAAUCAUCCACAGCAGCAGCAAUGCCAGAGAAUGAGUAGAAGUUAUUGCUAGUAAUAACAAAAAAAACACAACAAUCGCAACAGCAAUAACAACAACAACAAUAAUAGCAACACCAACAGUCAGUCAGUCAGUUGUUGUUGUUGUUGGCGUCGUCAUCGUCAUUUAUGGCAAUCAACCAAGACGAGAAUCCAGCACAGAAAGAAGAAUGGGGAAAAAGAUAGCCCCAGCAUGCUAAUCAAUUUUUCACACUUUGCCAAUCAAUCAAAAUAAAGCCCUAGAAAAAAAUUUAAACGAGAAAAAAA
rnacentral:sRNA from 1 species